rnacentral:rRNA from 1 species
GAUGAACGCUGGCGGCGUGCCUAAUACAUGCAAGUCGAGCGAACAGACGAGGAGCUUGCUCCUCUGACGUUAGCGGCGGACGGGUGAGUAACACGUGGAUAACCUACCUAUAAGACUGGGAUAACUUCGGGAAACCGGAGCUAAUACCGGAUAAUAUAUUGAACCGCAUGGUUCAAUAGUGAAAGACGGUUUUGCUGUCACUUAUAGAUGGAUCCGCGCCGCAUUAGCUAGUUGGUAAGGUAACGGCUUACCAAGGCAACGAUGCGUAGCCGACCUGAGAGGGUGAACGGCCACACUGGAACUGAGACACGGUCCAGACUCCUACGGGAGGCAGCAGUAGGGAAUCUUCCGCGAUGGGCGAAAGCCUGACGGAGCAACGCCGCGUGAGUGAUGAAGGUCUUCGGAUCGUAAAACUCUGUUAUUAGGGAAGAACAAAUGUGCAAGUAACUAUGCACGUCUUGACGGUACCUAAUCAGAAAGCCACGGCUAACUACGUG